AAUGAACGUUGGCGGCGUGGAUUAGGCAUGCAAGUCGAGCGGGUAUAGCAAUAUAUCAGCGGCGAAAGGGAGAGUAACGCGUAGCUACGUACCCCGGAGUCCGGAAUAGCCAGCCGAAAGGCUGGGUAAUGCCGGAUGAUGUCUCCGGACUAAAGGUGUGAUUCCGCUUUGGGAGCGGGCUGCGUUGUACUAGCUUGUUGGUAGGGUAAUGGCCUACCAAGGCUUUUGACGGGUAGCUGGUCUGAGAGGGUGGUCAGCCACAUGGGGACUGAGACACUGCCCCAACUCCUACGGGUGGCAG
rnacentral:rRNA from 1 species